GCCAAUGGGAAGUGAGGAGGCGGCUCGCGCCGAGCCCCGGGCUCCCCGCGCUGCUACCUUCGGGUUGGAAGGGGGAGGCGGGUCGGGGGAGGGCAGGGGAACGGAAGGGGUACCCGGGGAGCAUCCUAAGGGAACCUCUUCGCUUAAAAGGGCGGCCGCUGAAGUGGCUCUGAGAACAAAGGAGUUAACACUCGGACUCCACAGGUGGCCCGGGGUGGCCCUGGAGGAGCCCGCCUUUACCUUGCCCUAGCCCACCGGCGCGUCCCGCAGUUCCGAACUAAACGCGCCAGGCCGGGAAGGCUCGGGCUGUCUGAAGAGAGGCGUGACCUCGCCUACACCAGAUCCAAGGCGCACAUACCGAGACACCCCUCAACCUCACUCAGCAGUGCCGUUUCCAACUCCGCGGCAGAGACAGCGCCUGGCGACCCCGGGGCCUGCGUCCCCGCCCGGUCAGCAUCGCAGGUGUUACCCAAACUCUGACGGUCCCUUUAAGAACUCACCCGGAGUCGCGCCCUCCGAAGCUGAGCCGCCCUCGGCCAGCGCUGCAGGCCCCAGCUUAUAAAUCUAUGAAGGUGUCCAGGUCCUGCCAGACUCCGCUGCAUCUUUUGCUUUCACUCCAGCAGGGUAGCAGCAUGCUGCCUGUGCCAAGGCAAUCACUAAAAGGAAAGGAUUUAAUGCUGUCAAAAAAGCUUAUGCCAGCUUAGGCUGCAGGAAGAGGAACAGUGUCAAGUAUGUUGAAAGUGGACAUAUUGGUCAGACCUCCAUGAGAGCCUAGGGGGCAUUGCUUAGCAGCACGCUUUUAAAGGAAUCUGAACAAACCAGCAUGUGGAAAGAAGAGAGUAACCACAGCAAUCAGGAAACAACUGUACAAUCUAGGGCCAUUUCAUUGGAAAAACAGAAGUCUCCAGGGAGCUGCAGUCAUCAAACAGGCUUAUUCUGUGUACCCAGUGGGCAAGUACAGUCAAUGGAUGAAAAUUCAACCAAUGGACAAACACAGGAAGUUUUUCCUUAACAUGAGUUGUCAGAAACUGUCCAAAAUUCCAAAGAGCUGCCUCAAGGUAGUGGAAAUUUUUUUUUUUUUUUAAUCAGGAAGGUGCUGAAUGAAGCCAGCAAGGAUUCUGUGUCAGAGGGUGGUAGAUACCCAGGACAUAAGGUUGAACCACGUGACCUCUGAGACCACAGUUCUAAGCUGUUGAAACCUCAGUCCCUGCUGAAUACUGAAAUGGUAUUAGCACCCUUUAGUCUACAUCAAGAAUUCGUUCUACCCAGUUUUGGUGGUACCAAGACUGAUCUCUUUCUCAUAGAUAAUUCUUAACAGAAUAAAAGCUACAGGUUGAAACCAAUUCCCUUUAAAAUGUGGACAGUUGACCAUCUCCAUGAUAGGUAGUUAGGCACUGAAUUAAUGCUUUUUAAUGGAAGAGCCACCCUAAGAUUCCUGGAGUGUGGUAUAAUGGAGUACUAAAUCAGCAUAGGACUAAUAACUGCCUCCCGUGUAAACUGGUCUAUCCGGAGAGUGGUAUAGCCUCUCAUACAGUGUUCAAAGGCAGAUUUAACUCACUGCAGGUCCACAGCAACCGAUAAGAUAAACUCGUUGGUUAUGGUCUCCCACUUUGCAAAGGAGAGCACAGAGGAAGAGGAAACUGAGAUAACUUGGUUUAGGACCCCACAGCUGGCUGGAGCUGGGCUGAACAUUAGUUCAUUGUUUCUUCGAUUAAUCUAUGCUGCUUUUUCUCUACUUGGCUCCUUUUCUAAAUUAAACAAAACAAAACAAAAAACACUGGGCACAGAGUGGUGUAUAUGUGUGUGAGAGAGAGACAGAGAUAGAGAAAGACUAAGCGAAAGAGAAAAGAGAGAGGCUGAGUGAGAUUCAGAUAAAAUAAGGCACAAGUCAUGGGCUAGUCUGUUGUACAGUGUACUUGUCAUAUAUUUGAAUGCCUUUAACAAUGGAGACAGUUUUGAUGGAAAUAGGGCCUUGAAGAAAUGCAUAUCCGCACCCUGGUGGUAUGUUAUAACUAAACGGGUUGGUUUUUUGUUUCGGAGUUUUUUGGGUUUCUUUUUAAUGCAAAGGUAUAUAUUUAAAAUACCCUGUAGCUUCCUUCUCUCCUUCAUUUCAUUUCCUUAAGUAUGAGAGAGGUUUUCUGGAUGACGGGACAUCCAAACUGGAAGUGCCCUCAGAUCCCAUCAACUCCCAUCCCCAUGUUUGAGAAGCACGUAAAGUAAGCUCCAGAAGAGCUCCCAGACAACGUCGGCACACAAUUAUCAGAGGACUUUUCCCUGAUGGCAGAAAGCUACUGACAUUUCCA
rnacentral:lncRNA from 1 species